UGGGGAAUAUUGGACAAUGGGCGAAAGCCUGAUCCAGCCAUGCCGCGUGUGUGAAGAAGGUCUUCGGAUUGUAAAGCACUUUAAGUUGGGAGGAAGGGCAGUAACCUAAUACGUUGCUGUCUUGACGUUACCGACAGAAUAAGCACCGGCUAACUCUGUGCCAGCAGCCGCGGUAAUACAGAGGGUGCAAGCGUUAAUCGGAAUUACUGGGCGUAAAGCGCGCGUAGGUGGUUUGUUAAGUUGGAUGUGAAAUCCCCGGGCUCAACCUGGGAACUGCAUUCAAAACUGACAAGCUAGAGUAUGGUAGAGGGUGGUGGAAUUUCCUGUGUAGCGGUGAAAUGCGUAGAUAUAGGAAGGAACACCAGUGGCGAAGGCGACCACCUGGACUGAUACUGACACUGAGGUGCGAAAGCGUGGGGAGCAAACAGGAUUAGAUACCCCAGUAGUCCCUGAGCGGGCUGGCAAGGCGCAU
rnacentral:rRNA from 1 species